rnacentral:rRNA from 1 species
ACUCCGGGGAUAACAGGCUGAUUCCGCCCAAGAGUCCAUAUCGACGGCGGAGUUUGGCACCUCGAUGUCGGCUCAUCACAUCCUGGGGCUGUAGUCGGUCCCAAGGGUAUGGCUGUUCGCCAUUUAAAGUGGUACGUGAGCUGGGUUUAAAACGUCGUGAGACAGUUUGGUCCCUAUCUGCAGUGGGCGUUGGAAGUUUGACGGGGGCUGCUCCUAGUACGAGAGGACCGGAGUGGACGAACCUCUGGUGUACCGGUUGUGACGCCAGUCGCAUCGCCGGGUAGCUAAGUUCGGAAGAGAUAAGCGCUGAAAGCAUCUAAGCGCGAAACUCGCCUGAAGAUGAGACUUCCCUGAGGAUUUAAUCCUCCUAAAGAGUCGUUCGAGACCAGGACGUUGAUAGGCAGGGUGUGGAAGCACGGUAACGUGUGAAGCUAACCUGUACUAAUUGCUCGUGAGGCUUGACUCU